CUCUACUGCUGAGCCACCAGGGAAGCCCGUCCUGUUUAAUAAGUCCAAAAAUUUAAAUAAAUUGCUUUCCUGAAGUUCUGUGAGUCAUUCUAGCACAUUAUCAAACCUGUUGUAGGAAUUCCCUGAAUUUAUAGCCCAUCAGUCAGAAGUACAGGUGACACGUGGGGCUCAUGACUGGUAUUUGAAGUAGGGUAGUCUUAGCCUUUGUCUUAGUCUGAGCCCUUACCCUGUGGAAUCUAUGCUAACUCUAAUCGUGUGUGGGCUCAGUUGCUGUCAUGUCCAGCUCUUUGUAACUCCAUGGACUGUCGCCCACCAGGCUCCUCUGGUGGGAGACAGUCCCCACCAGACCCAGGGAUUGAACUCCUGUCUCUUGCAUCUCCUGCACUGACAGAUUCUUUACCACUGCACCACCUGGGAAACCCAACUCUGGGUAGUUAGUGUUAGACUGAACUGGACUGUAGGACCCUCCACUCGUGUCCAGAGAAUUAGAGAACUGGUUGCUGGUGUUAGAAAACAUCACAGAGUAAGUAUAUGUACAGGUAAAUUACAAGCAUCAUUACAAUUCUCCCCUAAAUAUUUUGGCCUGUCUCACCUACAUAUUUUGGCCUGUCUCACCUAAAAAUAACAUGCACCAACAGACGCGCCCAAUGUAGCAUUUUCACACUUAGCAAAAAUUAACAAUUUCCUAAUGUCAUCUAACAUGCAGUCCAUAUUCAGAUUUUUCCAAAUGUCCCUUAAAUGUCUUUUAUGGCUGUUUCUAUUUUCCAUAUCAAGAUUCAAGGAGAAUCACAAAUUCCAUCUGGUUUUGAUGUCUCUUUACUUUCCUCUUUUCUAAAAGAUCCCUACCCUUUCAUCAAUGACAUUGGGAAGCGUCCAGGCCAAUUAUCUUGUAGAACGUCCCACAUUCUGGAUUUCUGUGAUUGUUUCCUCAGGCAGGGGUGUGCUAUGUAACUUUUCUAGGCUUAUAUCCCCAUCUGUGAAAUGGGUAUCCUCACAGUAGCUGCCGCCGGUUACUCCACACGGUAGAUGCGAGGAUUAAAUGCAGAAAUGCUUGGCAAGUGCUCGGUCUGGUAUUUGGCACAAAGUAAAUGGUGCUAUUGACAUUGCCAUCAGCAUCCUCCGCAUCACCAGCACGGUGCUCAGCACCCCAGGUUCCAAGCCGCAGUGACACGUGAACUCGCCCGAUCCUUUCCUCACCCUUCCGGGAUCUCAGGCUCAUUUUGCUCUGUUCCUUCUGUCCUGCAGAGCUUAAUUGAUUAAAUGCAUCUCUCACUAGCCCCUCCAAGAACGGGUGGUUAACCUCUACCCGUCCUCCUAAGGACACGCUCUUUGUUCAGAAUCACAGUUGCAUUACCCCAGAAUGGCUCAGACGAUCGUGAGGCAUUGACCGGUGCGGUGCCCACCCAAGAAGGAAAAUUUCCUUAAAUUAUACAUGAAUUGCUGAAGUAGCAUUCCCGUUGCCUUGGAAAGGUGCAAAGGAUUGCACUCGCGAAACCUUAGUGGAAGGGAAUGUCUGUGGUCAGGAGCGGCACCAACCUGGCAGUCAGACCGACCUUAGACUCCUAGCCCCGUUACUUCCCUGCUGACUAGCUUUGGGCUAAUUACUUUACCUCAUUAAGAUCAACGUCCUCAUCUGUGAAAUAGAGAUGAGAACACUGAAGCUUAACGAGGCUAAGUCACUUGCCCAAAUGUGGAGGACUGCAAAAAUGACCACAACUCUCCAUCCACCGCUGUGUUUGUCACAUUGCUGUCACCUGGCAAAGGGACUCUGCAGCUCUCCCCACCAAGAGUGGAAUUUGUUCUCCCACCCACUGGCCUCGUGGUCAACUUGAACCAGAAGAAUGUGGGGGAGGGAUGAUGGGCCAGUUCCAAGCAUAGGCCUCAAGAGGCCAGCCAUGUUUCUGCUCGUUCUUCUGGAGCCCUGACAUGACUAUCUGUACAAGGCCUGGCUGGCUUACUGCAGAGCGAGAGGCUGGGCAGACCAGAGUCCUGCUGUUCCAGCUGUGGCCCAGCCACGUGGCAGAGCCCAGCCAAGAUCAGCAAAGCCACUUCUCCAACUGCAGCUGAGCCCAGACACAGAGUGAGACUGGGAGAGGCCAGAACAACCAGCUAUUGACCACAGAUUCAUG
ensembl:lncRNA